UAGGGAAUCUUCCGCAAUGGGCGAAAGCCUGACGGAGCAACGCCGCGUGAGUGAUGAAGGUCUUCGGAUCGUAAAACUCUGUUAUUAGGGAAGAACAAAUGUGUAAGUAACUAUGCACGUCUUGACGGUACCUAAUCAGAAAGCCACGGCUAACUACGUGCCAGCAGCCGCGGUAAUACGUAGGUGGCAAGCGUUAUCCGGAAUUAUUGGGCGUAAAGCGCGCGUAGGCGGGUUUUUAAGUCUGAUGUGAAAGCCCACGGCUCAACCGUGGAGGGUCAUUGGAAACUGGAAAACUUGAGUGCAGAAGAGGAAAGUGGAAUUCCAUGUGUAGCGGUGAAAUGCGCAGAGAUAUGGAGGAACACCAGUGGCGAAGGCGACUUUCUGGUCUGUAACUGACGCUGAUGUGCGAAAGCGUGGGGAUCAAACAGG
rnacentral:rRNA from 1 species